GGAGUUAGCCGGUGCUUCUUCUGUGAGUGAUGUCCUUCCUGCCGGCUAUUAACCCGCAGGCCUUCUUCCUCACUGAAAGUGCUUUACAACCCGAAGGCCUUCUUCACACACGCGGCAUGGCUGGAUCAGGGUUGCCCCCAUUGUCCAAUAUUCCCCACUGCUGCCUCCCGUAGGAGUCUGGGCCGUGUCUCAGUCCCAGUGUGGCUGAUCAUCCUCUCAGACCAGCUACGGAUCGUCGCCUUGGUGAGCCGUUACCUCACCAACCAGCUAAUCCGACAUAGGCUCAUCCGAUAGCGCGAGGCCCGAAGGUCCCCCGCUUUCCCCCGUAGGGCGUAUGCGGUAUUAGCCUGGGUUUCCCCAGGUUAUCCCCCACUACCGGGCAGAUUCCUAUGCAUUACUCACCCGUCCGCCGCUCGCCACCAGGGAGCAAGCUCCCCGUGCUGCCGAUCGACUUGCAUGUGUUAGGCCUGCCGCCAGCGUUCAAUCUGAGCCAGGAUCAAACUCUGA
rnacentral:rRNA from 1 species